CCUACGGGAGGCAGCAGUGAGGAAUAUUGGUCAAUGGUCGGGAUACUGAACCAGCCAAGCCGCGUGAGGGAGGACGGUACAGAGUAUCGUAAACCUCUUUUGUCGGGGAACAAAACCUGGGACGCGUCCCCGGCUGCGUGUACCUGAAGAAAAAGCAUCGGCUAACUCCGUGCCAGCAGCCGCGGUAAUACGGAGGAUGCGAGCGUUAUCCGGCUUUAUUGGGUUUAAAGGGUGCGUAGGCGGUCCGUUACGUCAGCGGUAAAAUCCCGGGGCUCAACCCCGUCCCGCCGUUGAAACUGGCAGGCUUGAGUUGGAGAGAAGUAUGCGGAAUGCGCGGUGUAGCGGUGAAAUGCAUAGAUAUCGCGCAGAACUCCGAUUGCGAAGGCAGCAUGCCGGCUCCAGACUGACGCUGAGGCACGAAAGCGUGGGGAUCGAACAGGAUUAGAUACCCUGGUAGUC
rnacentral:rRNA from 1 species